rnacentral:rRNA from 1 species
GAGUAAUGCAUCGGAACGUGCCAUUGAGUGGGGGAUAACGUAGCGAAAGUUGCGCUAAUACCGCAUAUUCUGUGAGCAGGAAAGCAGGGGACCGCAAGGCCUUGCGCUCUUUGAGCGGCCGAUGUCAGAUUAGCUAGUUGGUGAGGUAAAGGCUUACCAAGGCGACGAUCUGUAGCGGGUCUGAGAGGAUGAUCCGCCACACUGGAACUGAGACACGGUCCAGACUCCUACGGGAGGCAGCAGUGGGGAAUUUUGGACAAUGGGGGCAACCCUGAUCCAGCCAUGCCGCGUGAGUGAAGAAGGCCUUCGGGUUGUAAAGCUCUUUCGGCCGGGAAGAAAUCGCAUGGGUGAAUACCCUGUGUGGAUGACGGUACCGGAACAAGAAGCACCGGCUAACUACGUG